rnacentral:misc_RNA from 1 species
GAUGAAGAACGCAGUGAAAUGCGAUAAGUAGUGUGAAUUGCAGAAUUCAGUGAAUCAUCGAAUCUUUGAACGCACAUUGCGCCCCUUGGUAUCCCGAGGGGCAUGCCUGUUCGAGCGUCAUUUCACCACUCAAGCCUGGCUUGGUGUUGGGCGACGUCCUCUUUGGGGACGCGCCUCGAAACGCUCGGCGGCGUGGCACCGGCUUUAAGCGUAGCAGAAUCUUUCGCUUUGGAAGUCGGGGCCCCGUCUGCCAGAAGACCUGCUCGCAAGGUUGACCUCGGAUCAGGCAGGGAUACCCGCUGAACUUAAGCAUAUCAAUAAGCGGAGGA